CAACCCCCCCCCCCCCUCGGUGCAGAGCCUCGGUCACGCUGCAGAAAUGGAACAUUCCUCUUGGGAGCAAACACACACACACUUAAGUCUAAUAAACCAAUGCUGUAAUGUAAGUGGAGCCAUUUAACACUUUGUAAUGUUUGAACAUCAGCGCUGAGAGGGCAGCACCCCCCCCCCCCCCCCUCUGGUGAUUAAAGGAGUAAAGCCCCUUUGGCCCUGUGGUCCCCGACUCGGUGUUGUGACUCCACUUCAUCUCACGGCACGACGUUAGCAGCCGGAGAAGCACCCGUUAGUAAAACUAGGGUCAUAUGGCAACCAGCUACACCCGCCGAGGGAGAUAUACUUCAGUUAGUGAAUAACAUGAAGGAGUCCCAGUGUGAAGUAUGUCAAGAGAAAUAAACUACUAGGUCGGGUUUAGAUGGAUGUAAACUACUAGGUCGGGUUUAGAUGGAUGUAAACUACUAGGUCGGGUUUAGAUGGAUGUAAGCUACUAGGUCGGGUUUAGAUGGAUGUAAGCUACUAGGUCGGGUUUAGAUGGAUGUAAGCUACUAGGUCGGGUUUAGAUGGAUGUGAACUACUAGGCCGGGUCUAGAUGGAUGUAAACUACUAGGUUGCGUUUAGAUGGACGUAAACUACUUGGUCGCGUUUAGAUGGAUGUAAACUACUAGGUCGGUUUAGAUGAUGUAAGCUACUAGGUCGGUUUAGAUGGAUGUAAGCUACUAGGUUGCGUUUAGAUGGAUGUAAGCUACUAGGGUCGCGUUUGGAUAUAAACUACUAGGGCGGGUCUAGAUGGAUGUAAACUACUAGGUUGCGUUUAGAUGGACGUAAACUACUAGGUCGCGUUUAGAUGGACGUAAACUACUAGGUCUCGUUAGAUGGAUGUAAACUACUAGGUCGCGUUUAGAUGGAUGUAAACUACUAGGUCGGUUUAGAUGGAUGUAAGCUACUAGGUCGCGUUUAGAUGGAUGUGAACUACUAGGUCGCGUUUAGAUGGAUGUGAACUACUAGGUCGCGUUUAGAUGUAAACUACUAGGUCGCGUUUAGAUGGACGUAAACUACUUGGUCGGGUCUAGAUCAAUGUAAACUACUAGGUCGCGUUUAGAUGGAUGUAAACUACUAGGUCGGUUUAGAUGGAUGUAAACUACUAGGUCGCGUUUAGAUGUAAACUACUAGGUCGCGUUUAGAUGGACGUAAACUACUUGGUCGCGUUUAGAUGGAUGUAAACGAAUAGGUCGCGUUUAGGAUGGAUGUAAACUACUAGGCCGGGUCUAGAUGGAUGUAAACUACUAGGUCGGGAGGUGAGCGUGUGAUUGGAUGAACCAGCAUGAACGUUGUCACUUUAAAGGACUUUAAAGUCCCUUUAGAGAAGUCCCGUCUGCAGAUCAGCUCAAACAUCUUUACCAUCGAUGAGAUCCUUCAGAGCACUUCUGAUGUGACCGAUGCCGGCGCCGCAUCUCGCACACACCUAAGAGAAACCUGCACACAGAUGUGACAUCACGUCCGGGUCCCUCCCCCCCCCCCCCUCCUAAUCCUCUGUCUUCUCCCC